GACAGAGGAGCCAAGCGUUGUCCGGAUUGACUGGGCGUAAAGCGCACGCAGGCGGAACGGCGCGUGGGGUGUGAAAGCUGGCGGCUUAACUGCCAGUCGCCAUCCCAUACGGCCAUUCUGGGGCCUUUGCAGAGGGCAGUGGAAUUGCCGGUGUAGUGGUGAAAUGCGUAGAGAUCGGCAGGAACACCCCAGGGGGAAACCAGCUGCCUGGGCAAGCGCUGACGCUGAGGUGCGAGAGCGUGGGGAGCGAACCGG
rnacentral:rRNA from 1 species